GUGGGGAAUAUUGGACAAUGGGCGAAAGCCUGAUCCAGCCAUGCCGCGUGUGUGAAGAAGGCCUUUUGGUUGUAAAGCACUUUAAGCGAGGAGGAGGCUACUGAGAUUAAUACUCUUGGAUAGUGGACGUUACUCGCAGAAUAAGCACCGGCUAACUCUGUGCCAGCAGCCGCGGUAAUACAGAGGGUGCGAGCGUUAAUCGGAUUUACUGGGCGUAAAGCGUGCGUAGGCGGCUUUUUAAGUCGGAUGUGAAAUCCCUGAGCUUAACUUAGGAAUUGCAUUCGAUACUGGUUGGCUAGAGUAUGGGAGAGGAUGGUAGAAUUCCAGGUGUAGCGGUGAAAUGCGUAGAGAUCUGGAGGAAUACCGAUGGCGAAGGCAGCCAUCUGGCCUAAUACUGACACUGAGGUGCGAAAGCAUGGGGAGCAAACAGGAUUAGAAACCCUUGUAGUCC
rnacentral:rRNA from 1 species